rnacentral:rRNA from 1 species
AUUGAACGCUGGCGGCAGGCCUAACACAUGCAAGUCGAGCGGAGCGGCGGACGGGUGCGUAAUGCCUAGGAAUCUGCCUGGUAGUGGGGGAUAACGUCCGGAAACGGGCGCUAAUACCGCAUACUAUCAGAUGAGCCUAGGUCGGAUUAGCUAGUUGGUGGGGUAAAGGCCUACCAAGGCGACGAUCCGUAACUGGUCUGAUAGGAUGAUCAGUCACACUGGAACUGAGACACGGUGCUGACUCCUACGAGAGGCAGCAGUGGGGGAUAUUGGACGAGGUGCGAAAGGGUGAUCCAGACAUGCGGCGUGUGUUAAGAAGGUCUUCGGAUUGUAAGGCACUUUAAGUUGGGAGGCGUUACCAACAGAAUAAGCACCGGCUAACUUCGUGCCAGAAGCCGCGGUAAUAC